rnacentral:rRNA from 1 species
GUAGGUGGCAAGCGUUGUCCGGAAUUAUUGGGGCGUAAAGCGCGCGCAGGCGGUUCUUUAAGUCUGAUGUGAAAGCCCACGGGCUCAACCGUGGAGGGUCAUUGGAAACUGGAGAACUUGAGUACAGAAGAGGAAAGCGGAAUUCCACGUGUAGCGGUGAAAUGCGUAGAGAUGUGGAGGAACACCAGUGGCGAAGGCGGCUUUCUGGUCUGUAACUGACGCUGAGGCGCGAAAGCGUGGGGAGCAAACAGGAUUAGAUACCCUGGUAGUCCACGCCGUGAACGAUGAGUGCUAAGUGUUAGGGGGUUUCCGCCCCUUAGUGCUGCAGCUAACGCAUUAAGCACUCCGGCCUGGGGAGUACGGCCGCAAAGGCUG